UACGUAGGUGGCAAGCGUUGUCCGGAUUUACUGUGCGUAAAGAGCGCGCAGGCGGUCGGAUCAGUCGAAUGUGAAAGCCCCCGGCUCAACUGGGGAGGGUCAUUCGAUACUGUCCGACUCGAAGGCAGAAGAGGGAAGCGGAAUUCCCGGUGUAGUGGUGAAAUGCGUAGAUAUCGGGAGGAACACCAGUGGCGAAGGCGGCUUUCUGGCCUGUUCUUGACGCUGAGGCGCGAAAGCUAGGGGAGCGAACGGG
rnacentral:rRNA from 1 species